rnacentral:lncRNA from 1 species
UUUAUGUUUCCAACUUGUAUGUGUUAAUAUAAGACUUAGUGGUAGUAAAGUAGUUUUGAACCAAUAAGCUAUAGAGCAAAUUUGUCUACUUAAACUAGUACAUUGACAAUCUCAUCCUUUGAAAAUUUUGGAACAAUACAAAAUAUUGCAAUACAACCCUCUAAAACUCUAAAAUUAAGAUCCUUAAGUCGCUUGACCUAAUCCUUACCAAAGAUCACUCACUAUAAAUAACACCUUCUUAUCUUUCUUUUUUUGCAUGAAUAUGUCACCUCAUAACACCUUCUCCUCUUGAAUUUGAUUGCUUGUUCUUAAUUUGACAUUCUCUUUCCCUUUUAGAUUUGAAAAAAAAAAACAAAAAAACAAAAAAAAUGGUGUAAAUUCAACUUGAUAAGAGUUUAAUCAAAAUUGGAAAUUUGCUUGUAAUAUCUAACUCGCCUUAAUGAAUAAGGAUGUAUGGGUUGAUCAAUCGAGCUUUAGGCCCUUGAAUAAUCAUCUCAACUUUCACUUUCAAUUGCCUGAGAU